rnacentral:rRNA from 1 species
GACGAACCACACAAACGUUAUUCGGAAUUACUGGGCUUAAAGGGUGCGUAGGCGGCGCAGAAAGUAGGGUGUGAAAUCCCUCGGCUCAACCGAGGAACUGCGCCCUAAACUACUGUGCUCGAGGGAGGUAGAGGUGAGCGGAACUUAGGGUGGAGCGGUGAAAUGUGUUGAUAUCAUCAGGAACUCCGGUGGCGAAAGCGGCGUGCUGGACCUUUUCUGACGCUGAGUGCGCGAAAGCCAGGGGAGCAAACGGG